GACGAACGCUGGCGGCGUGCUUAACACAUGCCAGUCGAACGGAAAGGCCCUGCUUGCAGGGUACUCGAGUGGCGAACGGGUGAGUAACACGUGGGUGAUCUGCCCUGCACUUCGGGAUAAGCUUGGGAAACUGGGUCUAAUACCGGAUAGGAGCCAUCUUUAGUGUGGUGGUUGGAAAGUUUUUUCGGUGUAGGAUGAGCUCGCGGCCUAUCAGCUUGUUGGUGGGGUAAUGGCCUACCAAGGCGGCGACGGGUAGCCGGCCUGAGAGGGUGUACGGCCACAUUGGGACUGAGAUACGGCCCAGACUCCUACGGGAGGCAGCAGUGGGGAAUAUUGCACAAGGGGCGCAAGCCUGAUGCAGCGACGCCGCGUGGGGGAGGAAGGCCUUCGGGUUGUAAACUCCUUUCGCUAGGGACGAAGCUUUGUUGUGACGGUACCUAGAUAAGAAGCACCGGCUAACUACGG
rnacentral:rRNA from 1 species